UACGUAGGGGGCAAGCGUUGUCCGGAUUCAUUGGGCGUAAAGAGCGUGUAGGCGGCCAGGUAGGUCGGUUGUGAAAACUGGAGGCUCAACCUUCAGAGGUCGACCGAAACCAUCUGGCUAGAGUCCGGGAGAGGAGAGUGGAAUUCCUGGUGUAGCGGUGAAAUGCGCAGAUAUCAGGAGGAACACCAAUGGCGAAGGCAGCUCGCUGGGACGGUACUGACACUGAGACGCGAAAGCGUGGGGAGCAAACAGG
rnacentral:rRNA from 1 species